AGUCAAUAGAUACCCGGGUAGUCCACGCCGUAAACGAUGAGUACUAGGUGUAGGAGGUAUCGACUCCUUCUGUGCCGCAGUUAAACACAAUAAGUACUCCGCCUGGGAAGUACGGUCGCAAGAUUAAAAACUCAAAGGAAUUGACGGGGGCCCGCACAAGCAGCGGAGCAUGUGGUUUAAUUCGAAGCAACGCGAAGAACCUUACCUAGACUUGACAUCUCCUGAAUAGCGCAGAGAUGCGUGAAGCCCUUCGGGGCAGGAAGACAGGUGGUGCAUGGUUGUCGUCAGCUCGUGUCGUGAGAUGUUGGGUUAAGUCCCGCAACGAGCGCAACCCCUAUUAUUAGUUGCUACCAUUAAGUUGAGCACUCUAAUGAGACUGCCCGGGUUAACCGGGAGGAAGGCGGGGAUGACGUCAAAUCAUCAUGCCCCUUAUGUCUAGGGCUACACACGUGCUACAAUGGUGAGAACAACGAGAUGCAAUACCGCGAGGUGGAGCAAAACUUGAAAACUC
rnacentral:rRNA from 1 species